rnacentral:rRNA from 1 species
CUGAGACACGGCCCAGACUCCUACGGGAGGCAGCAGUGGGGAAUUUUCCGCAAUGGGCGAAAGCCUGACGGAGCAACGCCGCGUGAGGGACGAAGGCCUCUGGGCUGUAAACCUCUUUUCUCAAGGAAGAAGAUAUGACGGUACUUGAGGAAUAAGCCACGGCUAAUUCCGUGCCAGCAGCCGCGGUAAUACGGGAGUGGCAAGCGUUAUCCGGAAUUAUUGGGCGUAAAGCGUCCGCAGGCGGCCUUUCAAGUCUGCUGUUAAAGCGUGGAGCUUAACUCCAUUAUGGCAGUGGAAACUGAUAGGCUUGAGUAUGGUAGGGGCAGAGGGAAUUCCCGGUGUAGCGGUGAAAUGCGUAGAUAUCGGGAAGAACACCAGUGGCGAAGGCGCUCUGCUGGGCCAUUACUGACGCUCAUGGACGAAAGCCAGGGGAGCGAAAGGGAUUAGAUACCCCUGUAGUCCUGGCCGUAAACGAUGAACACUAGGUGUCGGGGGAAUCGACCCCUUCGGUGUCGUAGCUAACGCGUUAAGUGUUCCGCCUGGGGAGUACGCACGCAAGUGUGAAACUCAAAGGAAUUGACGGGGGCCCGCACAAGCGGUGGAGUAUGUGGUUUAAUUCGAUGCAACGCGAAGAACCUUACCAGGGUUUGACAUCCUGCGAACCUCUUAGAAAUUUGAGGGUGCCUUCGGGAAUGCAGUGACAGGUGGUGCAUGGCUGUCGUCAGCUCGUGUCGUGAGAUGUUGGGUUAAGUCCCGCAACGAGCGCAACCCACGUUUUUAGUUGCCAGCAUUUAGUUGGGCACUCUAGAAAGACCGCCGGUGAUAAACCGGAGGAAGGUGUGGAUGACGUCAAGUCAUCAUGCCCCUUACACCCUGGGCUACACACGUACUACAAUGCUACGGACAAAGGGCAGCAAACUCGCGAGAGCUAGCAAAUCCCAUAAACCGUGGCUCAGUUCAGAUCGUAGGCUGCAACUCGCCUACGUGAAGUAGGAAUCGCUAGUAAUCGCAGGUCAGCAUACUGCGGUGAAUACGUUCC